rnacentral:misc_RNA from 1 species
UGUAGGAGCGGGUUUACCCGCGAAGGCGUCGGUCCUGGCAAUCGAGGUUGUCGCUGCCGACGCAUUCGCGGGUGAACCCGCUCCUACA